UGGCUCAGGAUGAACGCUAGCUACAGGCUUAACACAUGCAAGUCGAGGGGCAGCAUGGUCUUAGCUUGCUAAGUGCGAUGGCGACCGGCGCACGGGUGAGUAACACGUAUCCAACCUGCCGUCUACUCUUGGACAGCCUUCUGAAAGGAAGAUUAAUACAAGAUGGCAUCAUGAGUCCGCAUGUUCACAUGAUUAAAGGUAUUCCGGUAGACGAUGGGGAUGCGUUCCAUUAGAUAGUAGGCGGGGUAACGGCCCACCUAGUCUUCGAUGGAUAGGGGUUCUGAGAGGAAGGUCCCCCACAUUGGAACUGAGACACGGUCCAAACUCCUACGGGAGGCAGCAGUGAGGAAUAUUGGUCAAUGGGCGAGAGCCUGAACCAGCCAAGUAGCGUGAAGGAUGACUGCCCUAUGGGUUGUAAACUUCUUUUAUAAAGGAAUAAAGUCGGGUAUGGAUACCCGUUUGCAUGUACUUUAUGAAUAAGGAUCGGCUAACUCCGUGCCAGCAGCCGCGGUAAUACGGAGGAUCCGAGCGUUAUCCGGAUUUAUUGGGUUUAAAGGGAGCGUAGAUGGAUGUUUAAGUCAGUUGUGAAAGUUUGCGGCUCAACCGUAAAAUUGCAGUUGAUACUGGAUAUCUUGAGUGCAGUUGAGGCAGGCGGAAUUCGUGGUGUAGCGGUGAAAUGCUUAGAUAUCACGAAGAACUCCGAUUGCGAAGGCAGCUCACUGGACUGCAACUGACACUGAUGCUCGAAAGUGUGGGUAUCAAACAGGAUUAGAUACCCUGGUAGUCCACACAGUAAACGAUGAAUACUCGCUGUUUGCGAUAUACAGUAAGCGGCCAAGCGAAAGCAUUAAGUAUUCCACCUGGGGAGUACGCCGGCAACGGUGAAACUCAAAGGAAUUGACGGGGGCCCGCACAAGCGGAGGAACAUGUGGUUUAAUUCGAUGAUACGCGAGGAACCUUACCCGGGCUUAAAUUGCAGUGGAAUGAUGUGGAAACAUGUCAGUGAGCAAUCACCGCUGUGAAGGUGCUGCAUGGUUGUCGUCAGCUCGUGCCGUGAGGUGUCGGCUUAAGUGCCAUAACGAGCGCAACCCUUAUCUUCAGUUACUAACAGGUCAUGCUGAGGACUCUGGAGAGACUGCCGUCGUAAGAUGUGAGGAAGGUGGGGAUGACGUCAAAUCAGCACGGCCCUUACGUCCGGGGCUACACACGUGUUACAAUGGCAGGUACAGAGAGACGGUCCCUUGCAAAAUGGAUCAAAUCCUUAAAGCCUGUCUCAGUUCGGACUGGGGUCUGCAACCCGACCCCACGAAGCUGGAUUCGCUAGUAAUCGCGCAUCAGCCAUGGCGCGGUGAAUACGUUCCCGGGCUUUGCACUCACCGCCCGU
rnacentral:rRNA from 1 species